CCCGCGCCCCUACCAGGCGGAGCAGGCAGCCCCACAGCAGGGCGGCCGCGGGCCCGGGCGGCCUCGGCCGCGCCCCCAUGGGCUGUGGGUCGGGUGGGCGCGGGACUGCGCGCGGUGCUCGGCUCGAUCUGCCCGGGGCUCGGCGGCGCUGCUCGGUGGCCGGCACGGCGCGACUUCCUCUUCCGGCCCCGCCCUGGGCGCGGGAAACCCCGCGUGGGCUGGGCGCCCACAGGCGGCGACGGGAUGGGGCGGCCCAGGGACCUGGCCACGGGCGUCGGGCCCCUCCCGCGGCCCAGCACCGCUGCGCGCUCAGGGCUAGACCGGCUCCCCGCGAGGGACUGCGAACGCAGGUGACAAAGACAAAAAUUAAAGCCAGGAAACAGUUUGCUCUGCUGAAGCACAAGCUUGUGGAUCAGACCACGUCCCUGCACCGUUUGGGGCCGAAUCCGAACUGUCCCGGGCUUCCUGGGCCCCGACAGCGCGAGGUCGCGGUCCCCGCACUUCCCACGCUCCAGCCUGACGCAGCCCGCUCGCUUAGGCCAGGACGUGGUUUAAUUCUUGCAUAGCACUUUGCACUCACUGUGUUGUAUUCUCUUGCUGAUCCGUCUGUCCAUUUAUUUUGUUUUGUUUUGAGACAGGGUCUCCCUAUGUAGUUCAGGCUGGCCCUGAACUCACUGUGUAGCCCAGGCUGGCCUGGAACUCCUGGAGACCCUCCUGCCUCAGCCUCGUAUUAAUUAUGACGCUGCCUCCCACUUGCUAGAAUGGGUGCCGUGUUUGCUUGGUGUCCCCAACACCUGCAACACGGGGCAGUGUUCAGUCCUCACGUGCGUGUGAGAGGGACAGUGUCCUUGCCACCCCACCGCUCCAGGGAGGCACACACCGCCUAGGCUGAAUUGUGACUCUAGGAUGCUAUGGAAGGGACAAAGUGUGUGUGGGGGGGCUAAGUGGGGUGCCCAGAAAAUGCCAGCCUGAACGGAGUCUUGAAGGGGAGCUAAUUUCAGCAGAGGGCUGAGUGUCCAAGCCAACGGUGGCCCUGGAGAAGCCACCAAACUCGUGCUGGGCUGAAGGUCCCAGAGGUGACAGGUGAAGUUAGAGGAGAGGCGGAGGCCAAAUCCCAGAUCCUCGGGCCCGCUGGGCCUGCGGCCUCCGAGCCGUGCAGGGUGGCGGCGGGGUCCUCGUAAACCUGUCACGACUCGCACCAGGCGGAAAGUCACUCGCAGAUGGAAAGAAAAAAGGAGGGGGAUAGAAAGAGAAGAAGAAAGCAGGAGGCUCCGUCUGUCCUAAUUCUUCUUCCACGACGCUUUCUCCUUGGUCAAAGUCCCUAUGCAGGAGGAAGGAAAGCAAAGCGAAAGGGAAAAGACGCUUGCUGGUUUGGCCUGGUGAGGUGGUGUAUGCCUGAGAUCCCGGCACGUCGAGCCUUGUUUCACACACACCCCCCAUCUCGUUUAAUGACUUGAUUUCUGGAGAGGCUGCCAAGAGCUCGUUUGGAUAUACUUUUGUACCUUCGGGGAUUACAUGGGUUGAAGGGUGCCUGGGUAUCUCUUAGAAAGUAUUUUUCUUCUCUGCAGAAACUAUAUAUAAAGCCUAAUUGUAGAAACUCAUGCUACAUUGCAGAUCCAUUUGAUUUGUAAAUAUAUUUAGUUUUUUUUCCCAAUGAUUAAAGAGCCUUAUUUCUUGUCAGACUUCUUUUUUUUUUUUUUUUUUUGAGACAAGGUCUCACUAUGUAGUUCAGGCUGGCCUUGAACUCACAGUGAUCCUCCUGCCUCAGCCUUCCAUGAAUCCCCCUCAAAAUCCUCCCCCUUGCCUUGAACACAUUUAUCCCAUGUUCUGGUCACUUUCUGCCCCUGCUCUGGAGUCCUCUUUUCUGAGUGAUCAAAAAUACAGUGAGUGCUGCUGUUGAGUGCCAUCUAAGGGAAAGGCAGCUCCUAAAAACACGACGCUGCGUCCUCAUCCAUGGUCUGGCACCACCGUGUGAUUUCUGACUCAUCCCCAAAGUCAAAAUGCCUGUGAAAGUUCAAAGUUUUGAACAGAUUCGGGACAUCGAGGCAGCCACAACCACACAACUCAGGGCUCCGGCUGCUGUGCCAUCUGCCACAAGGUCCUCCUCCGGGCUGAGCUGACCUACACACCUGUGAGCUAAGUAAAUUCCUUUAUAAAGUCACCUGGCAGGGUGUGGUGGUGCACAGCAGUAAUCCCAGCACUCGGGAGGUUGAGGCAGGAGGAUCGCCUUGAGUUCCAGGCCAG
rnacentral:lncRNA from 1 species